UACAGAGGGUGCAAGCGUUAAUCGGAUUUACUGGGCGUAAAGGGCGCGUAGGUUGUUAUUUAAGUGAGAUGUGAAAUCCCCGGGCUUAACCUGGGAACUGCAUCUUAUACUGGGUAACUGGAGUGCAGAAGGGGCAAUCGGAAUUCUCGGUGUAGCGGUGAAAUGCGUAGAUAUCGAGAGGAACACCAGAGGUGAAGACGGGUUGCUGGGCUGACACUGACGCUGAGGCGCGAAAGCCAGGGGAGCAAACGGG
rnacentral:rRNA from 1 species